UUGAAAAGUGUGUUGCGAUCGAAAGGCAAAAUAUGUCUCGAUCACUGAUUUCCCAAUACAGACCUUGUUCAGACCGCGUGCUUGUUUUAUGUAAGGACGAAAGAGACUCAAGUCAUAUAAUCAUACCUCUAAUUGGGAAUGAUGGUAGUCGGUUUUCUGGAGACUCAACAGAAUCAAUUUUCGAUAGAACAAUGAAGCCUUCUUCAACGAGCAGUACUGAUGUACAAAGACCUGUUGUAGGAGAAAUAGUCGUUGUGAAUGUUGUUCUGUUCGGAUUGUGCAUUAUAUUUGCCGUUCUGAUCAUCUUCAGAAAGCGUGUAGCGUGUCAAACAGCCAACAAGAAAUUUAGAAGACAUAUUUAAAAAAAAAAACCAACGGUACUAACAGGUGGCAAUAGAGAAAAGAAUAAUGGAAUACUUCAAAAUAAAAUCGAAGCUGUUUCUGCCAGUUAUAAUGAUCCUUUGGAACUGCGUCGUAAUAUCGUUCAUAUGGGUGAACUUUACCAGCAGGAUGUCAUAAAUGUUCAAACAAAGGAAACAGAAACUUGAACUUUUUCUGAAAAGAUAAAAGCAAUUGUAUUUUGUUUUGUUUUUACUAAAUUCAACAACUUAAAUAACAAGGUUCACUCCCUAUAGAUUUUACGUUUAAUGUUAAUCUAUGCUUUUUAAUAACUUAAAACUUUUGAUAUCGAUACAUUGCUAACCACACAUGUUUCUUGCAUUACCAUCAUCAGCUACGAUCGAGCUUGAAGGUUUGAGAGAAAAAUGACAUAAAACUUUUAUUGGACAUAUAGGAUCAUGUCAAGGACACAAUAAGUUCGAAUGAUAUAAAUGUCCCUAAUGAAAAUAUAUCAUGAAAACGACUUAUGUUAAAUCUUCAAACUCGUCACGGUAGUCUACAAUAGUUCGGAAAACUUUCUUUACAAUCUUCCCUGUAUACCCCAACUUUCGAUACAGUUUUAAAAAUGUUUAAAAAUGACAAAAGUCUCGACUUUAUAUUUGACUCAAUUUUCACAAAAAGCCUUAUAUAGAACAAUUUAUAACGGACUCGUCUCUGUUUUUAAAUAAGUUACUUACAACGAUUCAUACUACUAUUCUUUCUAACAUAAAAGUAGGUCUUAAAUAUAGUGUGAUGAUAGGUACGUCCAAUCAGCUGAGUAUCUCCAUUAUCUUCGAUAAUCAUUAGCAUUUAGCAGAAAUAUAUUUUUGACUUUUUAAUCAAACAUUUUGAU